AGCGAACGCUGGCGGUAGGCCUAACACAUGCAAGUCGAACGGCGGAACAGUAAGUGCUUGCUCUGACGGGUGGCGAGUGGCGGACGGGAGAGGUAUACAUCGGACUCUACUUUUUCGUGGGGGAUAACGUAGGGAAACUUACGCUAGUACAGCAUACGACCUACGGGUGAAAGCAGGGGAUAUUCGGACCUUGCGCGGUUGAAUGAGCCGAUGUCGGGUUAGCUAGUUGGCGGGGUAAAGGCCCACCAAGGCGACGAUCCGGGGCUGGUCAGAGAGGGUGGUGUGCCACACUGGAACUGAGACACGGUCCAGACGCCUACGGGAGGCGGCAGAGGGGAAUAUGGGACGAUGGGGGGAAGCCUAUUCCAGCCAGAGCGCGUGGGUGAAGAAGGCCUUCGGGUUGUAAAGCCCCUGUGUUGGGAAAGAAAAGCAGCAUGUGAAGACCCCACGGGUAUGACGGGAGCCAAAGAAUAGGCACCGGCUAACUUCGUG
rnacentral:rRNA from 1 species